rnacentral:rRNA from 1 species
ACACUCCUACGGGAGGCAGCAGUGGGGAAUUUUGGACAAUGGGCGAAAGCCUGAUCCAGCAAUGCCGCGUGAGUGAAGAAGGCCUUCGGGUUGUAAAGCUCUUUUGUCAGGGAAGAAACGGUGAGAGCUAAUAUCUUUUGCUAAUGACGGUACCUGAAGAAUAAGCACCGGCUAACUACGUGCCAGCAGCCGCGGUAAUACGUAGGGUGCAAGCGUUAAUCGGAAUUACUGGGCGUAAAGCGUGCGCAGGCGGUUUUGUAAGUCUGAUGUGAAAUCCCCGGGCUCAACCUGGGAAUUGCAUUGGAGACUGCAAGGCUAGAAUCUGGCAGAGGGGGGUAGAAUUCCACGUGUAGCAGUGAAAUGCGUAGAUAUGUGGAGGAACACCGAUGGCGAAGGCAGCCCCCUGGGUCAAGAUUGACGCUCAUGCACGAAAGCGUGGGGAGCAAACAGGAUUAGAUACCCCAGUAGUCCCAUGAU